rnacentral:rRNA from 1 species
CUUGAACACUGGCGGCAGGCCUAACACAUGCAAGUCGAACGAGUGGCGGACGGGUUAGUAAUGUAUGGGAAACUGCCUGAUGGAGGGGGAUAACUACUGGAAACGGUAGCUACUACCGCUUACCUUCGCAUGUGCCCAGAUGGGAUUAGCUAGUAGGUGGGGUAACGGCUCACCUAGGCGACGACCCCUAGCUGGUCUGAGAGGAUGAUCAGCGACACUGUAACUGAGACAAGGUACAGACUGCUACGGGAGGCAGUAGUGGGGAAUAUUGCACAAUGGGCGAAAGCCUGAUGCAGCACGGCCGCGUGUAUGAGGAAGGCCUUAGGGUUGGAAAGUACUUUCAGCGGGGAGGCGUUACACGCAGAAGAAGCACCGGCUAACUACGUGCCAGCAGCCGCGGUAAUUC